rnacentral:rRNA from 1 species
UACAGAGGUCCCAAGCGUUGUUCGGAUUCACUGGGCGUAAAGGGUGCGUAGGCGGUCGGGUAAGUCUGACGUGAAAUCUCCAGGCUCAACUUGGAAAUGGCGUCGGAUACUAUUCGGCUCGAGGAAUGGAGGGGAGACUGGAAUUCUCGGUGUAGCAGUGAAAUGCGUAGAUAUCGAGAGGAACACCAGUGGCGAAGGCGAGUCUCUGGACAUUUCCUGACGCUGAGGCACGAAAGCCAGGGGAGCAAACGGG